rnacentral:rRNA from 1 species
GCAAGUCGAACGGCAGCAUGGGACUUCGGUCCUGAUGGCGAGUGGCGCACGGGUGAGUAACGCGUACACAACCUACCUAUGACAGGGGGAUAGCCACUGGAAACGGUGAAUAAUACCCCAUAGUAUUGAUUUAUAGAUUAUUGAUCAAUUAAAGCUCCGGCGGUUAUAGAUGGGUGUGCGUCCGAUUAGCUAGUUGGUAAGGUAACGGCUUACCAAGGCGACGAUUGGUAGGGGGCGUGAGAGCGUGACC